GACAGGCACUUAAAUUAGACCACACAGAGUUAAGGGAAAUGAUUCAGUUCUCAUUUGCAUCAGAGCAAUGAACUUCAGAGGGGGCUGGAGCCAUCUACCCUGACCUCGACAAGGAGUUAAGAGAACAACGGUGUAAUGCCCAGAAAGAUAAGAGGAGUAUCUUUAGGAUAUUUUGGUAUCUCCAUCCAUCGGAUCAGGCCAUCUAAGAAAAGGCUGUGUCACACAGAGGGUGCUUCUAGACAAAGCUCCUAGACAAGUCUCCAGUCUCCCCAGCAGCUUGCCUUCCCAGCUCCUCCCAGCUGGGGCUCUGAAAUCCGCUGAAUCUCACCAGAGGGCAAGGAGAAUGGAAUUGAAGACUAAUAUACCGAGGACUUGAAAAUGGAACGUAGCAUAUGGAAAUUUUGGAUGCGAAGAGAAUGGUCGUUGCUGAGAAAAUAGUCUGAUCUGCUCCAGAAGGCUGCAUGCCAUGACUGGGAGGGGUGAUCUGCAAGAUGGCAUCUUCACAGGACUUCAGGCCCGGGGACUGACAUCAGGGGAUACCCAGGACAACCUCCCAGAGCCAGAACCAAGAUAGAGGUCCUCGCUUUCCUGACUUCUGGGCAUGCCAGGCUGCGUGGAUGGAGUGCUUCUCUUACCUCUUCUGGUAGCAAUGCUAUUUUAACUGGAUUUUUCUUGACUGUGGACACUGAAAAGCUGAGGAAGGGGUGGCGGAACUGAUUUGCUAUAGGCCGGGACUCCAGAAGAAAGAUGCAAUGUGACCGAUCGUCUCCUGCCACCCUGUCUUCCCCACCACGGUGGACUGCACCCUGAGACUGUGAGUCAAAAUAAACCCCUCCUUCCUUUGGAAGCCACCAAGAGAAAACUAACCCACGUUUCGGUAUUCCUGCCUCUACUUACUGAGUGAUGUGAUUUCAGGUGUUUGCUAUCAAGUUGGAGUCCCGUGAUGCUGGAGGAUGAACACAGGGUUUUGUAUGUGCGUGCUAAGACCACCAACCGAUCAACCUCCCAGCCCUGUGAUUAUUUUAGAGUAGAAAUAUUACUGUCAUAGCAGCAUUAGUAUGCGCGUCUCUACUCCUCAUCUGAGAAUGGCCUGGGUGCUGAUGAGGGUGUGGCCUGGCCAAGCUCCUUUUUGUCAGAGCCAUUUCCUGUGCAGUCUGUGCGGCUUCUACCAUCUUGCUCCUCUGUUCCGAUUUGCGGUUCCCUGGGCCUCGCGUUCCUCCCUGUCGAGGACCACAAUUAACCAGCGUGCUUUGAGUCUUCUGAUGAGGACCACAUUAACCAGGCUGCUUUGCCACUUCUGACGUUGUAUUGGGUUAGCACGCUGAGCCUGCUCUUUGGCCUCAGAACCCUAAAACACUACCUUGUUGGCUUCUCUCUGUUGUUCCAAAGUCUUCAGUGGCUCCCUAUGAACCUCUGAUACCCCAUCCAAAUUGCCAACUUCAUCUUCGAGUACUCUUUUUCACCCUCCAUGGUUUAGACUCAGGGACUUCUUCUCCAAGCCCAUCAGGUAACUUCUUAGUUUCUUCCUCUUCUCUGUCUUUGCCAGCCCAGCUUCCCCAAGUGUCUUGAAAAUACCCGACAGUUUCCAGGCUUUGCUCAUUCUGGCUCCCUGUGUGGAAUGCCUUCCUCCACACUGCCGACGUUUUUCCUUGCUCUAAACACCCCUGACCUUAUGACUACAUCCUCUGUAGAUCUCCCCCCCCCCGCCCCCAGGCUUUAGCAACUUGCAUUUAUUCAAGAACCCUGCACUAUUUUGUGAUGUUCUGUGCGAGUUCCCCGAUUUAUCAGAGGAUCUCAGAGGAGGUUUUGUCCCAGGACGAAGCUCUUGUGAGCUCUGUGGUGAAGAGCCGUGUUACUCGGAGGAGGGCUUUUCACGGCUCACAAAACGAAGAGGGAGGAGGCCAGCAAAGAGUCUGAUCGAGUAAUUUGUGCCAGGACAAACUUAAAGAAAACAGAAACGAGAGGAGAGAACGCAUCUGCAAACUAUCUGGAGGAGCAAAACAGCAGGAUCUGGUCCAACAGAUGACAUAGGAGAGCCAGAAAUAAGUUCUGAGGUUUCUGGUCCGCUGAAGAUGGAAAGACUGGUGGAUAACUGGGAAUGUGGAUGCAAGACAGUUUUGCUUUGUACUUGAGCUUCAGAAGAUGGAGAGAUAAUUAAGAACUGAGGACUCGGAGUUCUGAGUCUUCUGGGGGACGGGCAUUGAAUGAAGGGAGAAUAAAGACUGCAUUAAGAAGCUGGGCGGUCGUGCUGCACUCCUUUAAUCCCAGCACUCAGGAGGCAGAGGCAGGCAGAUCUCUGUAAAUUUGAGGCCAGCCUGGUCUAUAGAGCAAGUUCCAGGACAGCCUCCAAAGCUUACAGAAAAAUCCAUCAAAAAAAAAAAAAAAAAAAAACAAAAAAAAAAACAAGCAAAAACUUCAUAAAGAACAAAGUCCUGAAGGGCUACCACCAAGGAGAGAAGACCUGGGAGAGGGUAGGAUGGGGCUGGAUGUAGAGAACACAGUGCUGUGGAAAUCAUUGAGACAGCUUGAAGGCUGGAUAGUGUGAAUGAGUCAUCGACUAUCUGUGAAGAGUGAAGAGUAGCAAACAGUGGAGUCAUAGCAGAGCCUGGGAGGGGAUGGAGACCUGUGUAGAGAGGGGCUUUAAAAGGUUGCUGGAAACCAACCUGUGGGCCAAGUGGCAGCAAGAAACAGCCCAGAGAGAAAAGCGGUUUAGUAACAGAACCAUACUAGUAGAAACUCAUGGUUUAAAUCAAAGAGGACUGAGUGUCAGCUCUCUGAAAAAUAUCUAUUUGGACAUACAUGGACUUCCACCUCUUAGCACAGAACAGAUAUCAUUGAGGUGGCCUGGGAUGCUUGUUGGGCCCUGGCCUCGGCACCCCCUGUUUGAAUCAGACAUCAGCUCAGAACUGAACUCAGGUCUCCUCCAAGAGUUGCAAGUGCUCUUAACCAUUGAGCCAUCUCUUCGGCCCUAAAUUAUCUUUUUCUUUUUUCAUUUUCUUUGAAUUUGUUUUAAA